GGAGAGUUGGCCGAGCGGUCGAAGGCGCACGACUGGAAAUCGUGUAAACGUUCAAAGCGUUUCGAGGGUUCAAAUCCCUUGCUCUCCGCCA
rnacentral:tRNA from 1 species